rnacentral:rRNA from 1 species
UACGUAGGGGGCAAGCGUUGUCCGGAUUUAUUGGGCGUAAAGAGCGUGUAGGCGGCCAGACAGGUCAGCUGUGAAAACUCGAGGCUCAACCUCGAGACGUCGGUUGAAACCGUCUGGCUAGAGUCCGGAAGAGGAGAGUGGAAUUCCCGGUGUAGCGGUGAAAUGCGCAGAUAUCGGGAGGAACACCUAUUGCGAAGGCAGCUCGCUGGGACGUAACUGACGCUGAGACGCGAAAGCGUGGGGAGCAAACAGG